rnacentral:tRNA from 1 species
GCCGAAGUGGUGGAACGGUAUACACGCAACGCUUAGGACGUUGUGCCUUCGGGUAUAGGGGUUCGACUCCCCUCUUCGGCA